rnacentral:rRNA from 1 species
ACGGGUGAGUAAUGUCUGGGAAACUGCCUGAUGGAGGGGGAUAACUACUGGAAACGGUAGCUAAUACCGCAUAACGUCUUCGGACCAAAGUGGGGGACCUUCGGGCCUCAUGCCAUCAGAUGUGCCCAGAUGGGAUUAGCUAGUAGGUGGGGUAAUGGCUCACCUAGGCGACGAUCCCUAGCUGGUCUGAGAGGAUGACCAGCCACACUGGAACUGAGACACGGUCCAGACUCCUACGGGAGGCAGCAGUGGGGAAUAUUGCACAAUGGGCGCAAGCCUGAUGCAGCCAUGCCGCGUGUGUGAAGAAGGCCUUCGGGUUGUAAAGCACUUUCAGCGAGGAGGAAGGGUUCAGUGUUAAUAGCACUGUUCAUUGACGUUACUCGCAGAAGAAGCACCGGCUAACUCCGUGCCAGCAGCCGCGGUAAUACGGAGGGUGCAAGCGUUAAUCGGAAUUACUGGGCGUAAAGCGCACGCAGGCGGUUUGUUAAGUCAGAUGUGAAAUCCCCGCGCUUAACGCGGGAACUGCAUUUGAAACUGGCAAGCUAGAGUCUUGUAGAGGGGGGUAGAAUUCCAGG